rfam:Thermacetogenium phaeum DSM 12270, complete genome.
UAGGCUGACAGCAAGAUUCCCGACGCCCAGGCGGCUCACGAAAAGACCAUCACCGGUCUGAUGGCGGCGCUAGGUGGCGCGAACCUGAUUUACGGACUGG